rnacentral:rRNA from 1 species
CAGUCGCCACGGUAAUACAGAGGGUGCGAGCGUUAAUCGGAUUUACUGGGCGUAAAGCGUGCGUAGGCGGCUUUUUAAGUCGGAUGUGAAAUCCCUGAGCUUAACUUAGGAAUUGCAUUCGAUACUGGGAAGCUAGAGUAUGGGAGAGGAUGGUAGAAUUCCAGGUGUAGCGGUGAAAUGCGUAGAGAUCUGGAGGAAUACCGAUGGCGAAGGCAGCCAUCUGGCCUAAUACUGACGCUGAGGUACGAAAGCAUGGGGAGCAAACAGGAUUAGAUACCCCCGAGUCCCUGUCUCUUAUACA